UGUCAAAUGCGGGAAUCGAACCCGGGUCGUAGUGGUCGAAAACCAAACGGUUUAACCAGCCUUCCACCGACGAACCACGGUUUUCGACCAUUACGAC
rnacentral:tRNA from 1 species